AAAGUCGUAACAAGGUAACCGUAGGUGAACCUGCGGUUGGAUCAUUAACAAAUGAAUGCAACCUGGCCAACCGAGGCAACUCGGUGCGGCCCGAUGCGUACCCCAUUCGGGGUGGCAUUGCACCUUGUGUGAACCGUUAACAUUUUUUACCCACGUCAUGUGUUGUUACUAUACUGUCUUUAAGAAAAAACAAAAGUAAAUUAAAAACAACUUUUGGCAACGGAUCUCUUGGCUCUC
rnacentral:misc_RNA from 1 species